rnacentral:rRNA from 1 species
GACGAACGCUGGCGGCGUGCUUAACACAUGCAAGUCGAACGGAAAGGCCCUGCUUGCAGGGUGCUCGAGUGGCGAACGGGUGAGUAACACGUGGGUGAUCUGCCCCUUACUUUGGGAUAAGCCUGGGAAACUGGGUCUAAUACUGGAUAGGACCAUGCUGUAGGUGGUGUGGUGGAAAGAUUAGUUUCGGUAAGGGAUGAGCUCGCGGCCUAUCAGCUUGUUGGUGGGGUAAUGGCCUACCAAGGCGUCGACGGGUAGCCGGCCUGAGGGGGUGGACGGCCACAUUGGGACUGAGAUACGGCCCAGACUCCUACGGGAGGCAGCAGAGGGGAAUAUUGCACAAUGGGCGCAAGCCUGAUGCAGCGACGCCGCGUGGGGGAUGACGGCCUUCGGGUUGUAAACUCCUUUCAGCCAUGACGAAGCCCUUGUGGUGACGGUAGUGGUAGAAGAAGCACCGGCUAACUACGUG